GGAUGUAAGGGUGAUCUGGCUGCAACACCUGUCACCCCCAUUGAUCUACAGGGUUGAUUUGGUUGAUCUGGCUGCUUGGCAGAUGUCCCAUUCCUCCCUUACCGCUGCAUGUCCCAUUUCUCCCUCAUUGCUCCAUGUGCAACCCUACUUGAAGCUGCAUGUUUGGUUGAAGAGGACAGCCUUCCCUAAAUAGACAGACUGUUCUUGGUCCAGGGCAUACCAGUAGUUGUACUCCCCUGCACAACCUCCAAACAAGUCUCAUGGUAUAUAGGAUAUAUAGGGUAUCUCCUAUAUGCUCUAGGAGAAUAUAGGGUAGUCAAGCAUCCAAGACUCUAGACACAUUCAAAUGAUGCGUUGCACGUGGCAGUCUGCCUUUCU
rnacentral:snRNA from 1 species